rnacentral:rRNA from 1 species
CUCCUACGGGAGGCAGCAGUGGGGAAUAUUGGACAAUGGGGGAAACCCUGAUCCAUCGAUGCCGCGUGAGUGAUGAAGGCCUUAGGGUUGUAAAGCUCUUUUGACAGGGACGAUUAUGACGGUACCUGUAGAAUAAGCACCGGCUAACUCUGUGCCAGCAGCCGCGGUAAUACAGAGGGUGCUAGCGUUGUUCGGAAUUACUGGGCGUAAAGGGCGUGUAGGCGGUUGCGUAAGUCAGAUGUUAAAGACUCGGGCUUAACCUGGGGGAUGCGUUUGAUACUGCGUGACUAGAGUGCAGGAGAGGAGAGUGGAAUUCCCGGUGUAGAGGUGAAAUGCGUAGAUAUCAGGAGGAACACCGGUGGCGAAGGCGGCCUGCUGGACUGUGACUGACACUGAGGCUCGAAAGCGUGGGGAGCAAACAGGAUUAGAUACCCUGGUAGUCCACACUGUAAACGAUGGAUACUAGGUGUAGGGGACGAUAUGUCUUCUGUGCCGAAAGCAAACGCAAUAAGUAUCCCACCUGGGGAGUACGACCGCAAGGUUGAAACUCAAAGGAAUUGACGGGGGCCCGCACAAGCAGUGGAGUAUGUGGUUUAAUUCGAAGCAACGCGAAGAACCUUACCAGGCCUUGACAUCCAAUGAACUUUCCAGAGAUGGAUUGGUGCCUUCGGGAACAUUGAGACAGGUGCUGCAUGGCUGUCGUCAGCUCGUGUUGUGAAAUGUUGGGUUAAGUCCCGCAACGAGCGCAACCCUUAUCCUUUGUUGCCAGCGGUCCGGCCGGGAACUCAAAGGAGACUGCCAGUGAUAAACCGGAGGAAGGUGGGGAUGACGUCAAGUCAUCAUGGCCCUUACGAGUAGGGCUACACACGUGCUACAAUGGCGUAUACAAAGAGAAGCGAACUCGCGAGAGCAAGCGGACCUCAUAAAGUACGUCGUAGUCCGGGUCGGAGUCUGCAACUCGACUCCGUGAAGUCGGAAUCGCUAGUAAUCGUAGAUCAGAAUGCUACGGUGAAUACGUUCCCGGGCCUUGUACACACCGCCCGU